rnacentral:rRNA from 1 species
CCUAGUGAUGAUAGCGGAGAGGAAACACCCGUUCCCAUCCCGAACACGGAAGUUAAGCUCUCCAGCGCCGAUGGUAGUUGGGGCCAGCGCCCCUGCAGCCAGCGCCCCUGCAAGAGUAGGUCGUCGCUAGGC